rnacentral:rRNA from 1 species
GAACGUUGGCGGCGUGGAUUAGGCAUGCAAGUCGAGCGAGCAAACUUUUUUUCGAAAAAGUGGAGAGCGGCGAAAGGGAGAGUAACGCGUAGAAACGUACCCCGAGGCCCGGAAUAGCGGUGAGAAAUCGCCGGUAAUGCCGGAUAACGUCUCUGGACCAAAGGUUUACCACCUGGGGAGCGGUCUGCGUUCUAUUAGCUUGUUGGUGGGGUAAAAGCCUACCAAGGCAAAGAUGGAUACCGGGCGUGAGAGCGUGACCCGGCUCACUGGGACUGAGACACUGCCCAGACACCUACGGGUGGCUGCAGUCGAGAAUCUUCCGCAAUGGACGAAAGUCUGACGGAGCGACGCCGCGUGCUGGAUGAAGGCCUUCGGGUUGUAAACAGCUGUCAUAGGGGAGGAAAUUUUGACCGAUCCUAAGAGGAAGCACAGGCUAAGUUCGUGCCAGCAGCCGCGGUAACACGAACUGUGCGAACGUUAUUCGGAAUCACUGGGCUUAAAGGGUGCGUAGGCGGCCAAGUAGGUCAGAUGUGAAAGCCCACGGCUCAUCCGUGGAAUUGCGUUUGAAACCACUUGGCUUGAGUAAGAUAGAGGUAAGCGGAACUGAUGGUGGAGCGGUGAAAUGCGUUGAUAUCAUCAGGAACACCGGUGGCGAAAGCGGCUUACUGGGUCUUUACUGACGCUGAGGCACGAAAGCUAGGGGAGCGAACGGGAUUAGAUACCCCGGUAGUCCUAGCUGUAAACGUUGAGCACUA